GAAGUCUUUGCUACCCCGCGCGCGCAGUCCGUGAAGCCCUUUCCCUUGAAUCUCUUGCUCCUGAAUAUUGAGAACCCUUUGCUUUCCCCCUGCGCGCGCCCCACCAUUGCCCCGCCCUUGCCCCGUCGUUGCCCUGCCGUUGCCCCUGAAUCCGUUGCUCCUGUAUAACGUUUGUUUCGUGCAACCUCUGUCCCUCGAAGAAGCCUCUUUGGAAGCAUUGGAAGCCUCAUUGUGUUGCUUUCGAAUAGCAGUAGGUUGUCCUUGAUAAAGAGAAACAGGUAGCCACGGUGGACAGAGAGGUUCAUGAUGGUAUAGAGACUAUGUGUCUGAACUUACCAGCAGUAAUAACAUAUAUCUAUCCAUAGCACUGUCAUCUCAAUUAUUUAAAGAAGCAUGAAAGAUGUCUAAAGCAUAUCCACCAUUGGAUUCACUCUAUCAGAUUGCAUCAACCAACAUUAGGUUCUCAGUGCGCAAAUUUUGCAGAAAGAAAUUCUAGAAGUUGGCCGAGGACACUCCUAGUAGAAGUGGUAGAAUUAUUCCAAGUAUUUCAGCUGGAACAGCUAUUAACUACAGUUUCAUUCCGGUGUAUGAUAUAAAUAUAAAUAAGCGAAGUGACUGCUUAUCAUACCUUGCCUUCCUUUGCGAGUUUUUCCCUCUCUUCUACAACUAUUAUCCCUCAGAAUUCAAGUGGUGUAACCAACCUGUUUGGAAAUCAGAACUAGCUUGGAACUCCUUUACAACAAAUUCAUUCCACUAUUGAAAAGCUGAUGCAAGUUGAAGAAUCUCAGUGCAGAUCAGAAUAUAUACAAUCAUAGUUACUAAAACUUUGAAAGGGAACUCAUAGUGGUGUGUGGAUAGCAGUCAAAUUUGCUGCCAAAUUGUUGAGGGUAGUGGAAGUGUGCAAAGGGUCAUACUUCUCUUCUUGACAUCCAUUAGUCAACACAUAUCCAGUUUCACAUAUCUUCUUAGUAAGACUUCAUUUAGGUUGGAGGGGGUGAGCACAAAGUUGGAUGACCAUGUUAGAGAUGACAUUUUGUUGGGCUAUUAUGAUACAACAUUCUAUAGAGUGCUUGACCGACACCUAUGUUUUUAUGUAUCCACUCUUGAAUACCUUUUGUAGACAUUUGUAUAUAGUUAUAGGGGUUAAUAUAAUCCCAUAAAGGGAUUUAUGUUUUAAAGUUAAAAUAGUCACAAAGCAUUUUAUGUUUUAUGCAUCUUAUACAUAUAUUUGUUUCAUAAAUAUUCAGGUAAUGUUUGUAUGAGAAUAUUAGGUUAGAUGAUCUUUACGUUUUCCGCUACAUGGUUUCUGUUGUAUGUUGUGCCAAGUGUGGCAACCUGUUAGGUGAUUAGGUGUUACAAUUCUUUUUUUUUUUUUAAGGAAUCUCAUUUUGAAAAUUUUCUUAGAGAUCUCAACUUUUAAGAUUGGACUUUUUUCAAACAAUAGAUCUCAAAUUAUUUGUUAAUUAAAUAGUUUGAUCAAACAAGGUUGUAGUUAUUGCAAUCUCUUUGCCUUCCUCUAUUAUCCUUAAUUGAUGUUGUCAUUUUGUUUCACGCAUAGACCCAUCCUAUGGAAGAUAAUUCUCAAUUAUCUCAAUGCAUAAGUUACUAUAUAUAUAUAUCGGAAAAAGAGGAAGUGGUGAAAGCGCAAUGUAGUGACUCUACGAAAGGAUUCUCUGAGGCAGUGAAAGAGAUUCAGAUUUUGUUUGAGAGAGCGUCGGAUUCUGGGAACGCGAUUUCGGAGAUGCUGGAUGUUGGGAAACUCUGUUACCAUAGAAAAAUUGACCUCAAUCCGGGUGGAUAUUGCUGCUGGUGGAUGGCAUUCUACUGCAUUGAUAGAUGAAGGAGAGGGCUAUGGAGGGAAGUUGAGAUCCACUAGGUAUUCCAGAUCAUGUUGAAACAAGCAAGACCAAGAUCACUACACUCCCCAAUGGACUCAAAAUAGCAUCAGAGAUGUUGUCUGUGUCAUGUGGAGGUACUCAUUCAGUUGCUCUAACCCGAGAUGGACGCAUGUUUUCUGAAGACAUGAGGAUGGAAUGCAUAUCUAUGAGAAAGAGAACCAGUAAUUUCUUGACUAUGGAGGUUCCUGGGCUUGCUGAGAGAAGGCCCUCACUGGUUCAUGGGAUUUUAUCUUUGAAACUCUCAUCUGGACAUGAUAAUAAUACCACAUCCGUUUAUCAGGUUUGGUCCUUAUUUGGCUGCGGGUCACAUUCACUUGGAUAAAUAAAAUUUUUAGCUAGAAAUUGUUGCAUCAGCUGGUCAUUAUAUACUAUCAGAUGGAUACCAUAAUUAUUAACAUUUUUUUAUAUUUUCUUUUCAUGUGAUCUAGAGUCUGCUCUUGUAGAUAAUAAAAGUGCAUGCCUUUUUGAUUGUGUUAUCUUAACCAAUGAAUCAUAGAAUGCCAUAUCAUCUGUGGUGAUACAUUUAUGUUGGCAACAUUUGUUAUGUGUCAAUUAACAUUUCCUCUCUACAUUAGCAAACAUGAUUAUUAUAGAAUUGUAGAAUAUAAAAAAAGAUGGGUACUUUGUGUAAUAGAUUUGAUAUUGUUUUAUUGCUUAAGAUUCAAGAAAAACUUAACAGAAGGGUAUCCUUUUCUUGUUGGAAUUAUUUAUUUAUUUAUUUAGAAGGCUAGAUUUG